CGGCCGAUCUGUCGGCGGGCGCCUCGGGCCUGCGACGCUCGACGGCGACCGUGCGAUCGUCGAGGCCGGGAUCCUCCUCCGGCACCGGUCGG
rnacentral:tRNA from 1 species